GUCUCUGUAGCGCAAUGGAUAGCACGUUGGACUUCUAAUCCAAAGGUCGUGGGUUCGAAUCCCACCCGGGAUG
rnacentral:tRNA from 1 species